rnacentral:lncRNA from 1 species
UUGUAAAGAAAAUUAAUAAAUAAAAACCCCUAAAAAAUAUGAUUCUCUUGGUUUAUGGACUUGAGGUUACUAUCCUUAGCAUUGUUAUGCAGUUAUGGACUUAGAGCUAGGACUUUGACAUUUGCUUUGGGAGGUUGUGAUUUGAGACCUUGGGAUUCAUCUUAUGCCUCUGACUUUGGACUUCUCUGUGAAGACUUGGUUUGGUUAUUUUGGUUUCAUCUGAUACAUGG